ACGGAGGAUGCGAGCGUUAUCCGGAUUUAUUGGGUUUAAAGGGAGCGCAGACGGGUUUUUAAGUCAGUUGUGAAAGUUCGGGGCUUAACCUUGGAAUUGCAGUUGAAACUGGAGACCUUGAGUGCGGACGCGGCAUGCGGAAUUCGUGGUGUAGCGGUGAAAUGCUUAGAUAUCACGAAGAACUCCGAUUGCGAAGGCAGCAUGCCAGGCCGUAACUGACGUUCAUGCUCGAAAGUGCGGGUAUCAAACAGGAUUAGAUACCCUGGUAGUCCGCACGGUAAACGAUGAAUACUCGCUGUCGGCGAUAGAAUGUCGGCGGCUUAGCGAAAGCGUUAAGUAUUCCACCUGGGGAGUACGCCGGCAACGGUG
rnacentral:rRNA from 1 species